GAUGAACGCUGGCGGCGUGCCUAAUACAUGCAAGUCGAGCGAAUGGAUUAAGAGCUUACUCUUAUGAAGUUAGCGGCGGACGGGUGAGUAACACGUGGGUAACCUGCCCAUAAGACUGGGAUAACUCCGGGAAACCGGGGCUAAUACUGGAUAACAUUUUGAACCGCAUGGUUCGAAAUUGAAAGGCGGCUUCGGCUGUCACUUAUGGAUGGACCCGCGUCGCAUUAGCUAGUUGGUGAGGUAACGGCUCACCAAGGCAACGAUGCGUAGCCGACCGGGGAGGGUGAUCGGCCAAACUGGGAAUGAGACACGGCCCAGACUCCUACGGGAGGCAGCAGUAGGGAAUCUUCCGCAAUGGACGAAAGUCUGACGGAGCAACGCCGGGUGAGUGAUGAAGGCUUUCGGGUCGUAAAACUCUGUUGUUAGGGAAGAACAAGUGCUAGUUGAAUAAGCUGGCACCUUGACGGUACCUAACCAGAAAGCCACGGCUAACUACGUGCCAGCCGCCGCCGUAA
rnacentral:rRNA from 1 species